GUAGAGAGACGAAACAGCGAGAGAAUGGGAGCUGUCGCCAGGGGAAGAGCCAAUGGCUAGUCUGAUACUAAUGUAAGCCUUCUAACUCGGUGAGUUUCUAGAGUUAGAAGAUUAAGACGUAUCCUUGGCUAUGAAGCUAUGAUACAACUUUAUGCGAGGUUCUUGACAUGUGAUUUGAGAAGAUUAGUGGAAACUUUGUUUAGUGAAGUUUGGAUAUUACUAGUAGAAAGAUAUCUAGAGUGAAAUUAGUUCUUUGGCUUUUAUCUUUGAUUCUCUAAUCUCGAUGUGUUUGUGCUGUUAAAAAACAUGAGCAGGGUAAAAAUAGUGAAUAUGAGUGAGCCUGACCCUGUUAUCACUAUUUAGAAUAGGAAUCCCAUUGGCAAAUAAUCCCAGGUAAGCUUCAAAUCAAGCCAAAAAUUAUCUUCAGAUGUGGUCCAGUCUCAGCUUGGUCAUGGAGAGGGGGUUGCUGAUUCACCUCUCUAGCUGAUUCUAUUGUUGCAGAAUCAGACACCAUUUUCAGCGGAUGCUAUCUUCCUCUUUUUUUUUUUUUUUUUGUUGUGUUGUUUUUCAUAUCACCAUUUUGUUUUUGUAUACCCCUGGUCCGUCUAGUCAAUUCUAUGGAAAAUACUCCUACAUAUAUUUGACCUACUUACUAUUUAGAGAGUGAAUUCUUCUCAUAGAAGAAGCCUUAUAGAUGGGCUAACAAAUCUUCCUAACAGGCAGUAGCGUCCAGCUCUUAAACUUUGAUUCACUCUAAUGGCUUGUAUCAGGUUCUGUCCAUGCAUCAGAUUCUGCAUUUUCAUUUUCACAUGGUGAUGAGCGAAUGAUUUUUGCUUGAAACAUUCCUCUGCUCGUUCUGCUAACAAUGCUUAGUUCAUUUUCUUGACUGUAGGGCGAGUUGGCCAAGCACUCAAGGGAAUACUAAUCCAUUCGGCAGUGAUUUUUGGCUCUCAACAAUGGUGCUUCGUACAGUUUCCUAGUUAUGUGUAGGCUAGGAGUUUGUGUUGUCAAAUCUUCGUCUUUAUGUAUGUUGGACUAACUACUACAAUUUGUCUUGGGCGGUUAGCCCAGGCUUCUUGCAAUGUUGACAAGCUGUACUUUGAAGGUCUGCUUUAUGCCUCAAAAGUUUUAGGUUUAAAAACGCUUGUGCAUGUUGGUAAAUCUUAUAGGUGAUCAGCUAAGUUGAUAUCGGCACAUUUGGCAAACUUUUUGUAUCUAUAUAUGAUUUUAGUUUGGUUUUUAAUUAUUUUAACAGCUGUUAACUUUAAAGAAGUUUCAAUUCUCUACAA
rnacentral:lncRNA from 1 species